rnacentral:rRNA from 1 species
GGUGGUUUUAUAAGCCAGAGGUUAAAUCUCCAAGCUCAACUUGGAAUACGCCUUUGGAACUGUAAGACUCGAGGGGCAAAGAAGAAGCUGGAACCAGCGGUGUAGUAGUGAAAUGCGUUGAUAUCGCUGGGAACACCAAUAGCGAAGGCAGGCUUCUAGGUGCCACCUGACACUGCUAGGACGAAAGCGUGGGGAGCGAAUGGGAUUAGAUACCCCAGUAGUCCACGCUGUAAACGAUGCACAUUCGGUGCUAGGGAGUAUCGACCCUCCUUAGUGCCCAAGCUAACGCGUUAAAUGUGCCGCCUGGGGAGUACGGUCGCAAGACUAAAACUCAAAGGAAUUGACGGGGACCUGCACAAGCGGUGGAGCAUGUGGUUUAAUUCGACGGUAAGCGAGGAACCUUACCAGGGUUUGACAUGUAUCUGCAAAUCUCCCGAAAAGGAGACUCUUUCGAAGGUGAUACACAGGUGUUGCACGGUUGUCGUCAGCUCGUGCCGUGAGGUGUUCACUUAAGUGUGAAAACGAGCGCAACCCCUACUGUCUGUUACAAGUGUCAGACGGAACUGCCCCGGUUUAACGGGGAGGAAGGUGGGGAUGACGCCAAAUCAGCGUGAUUCUUACGCCCUGGGCCACACACGUGCUACAAUGGAUAGUUACAAAGGGACGCCAAAGCGUAAGCUGGAGCAAAUCCUAUCAAAGCUAUCCUCAGUUCGGAUUGAGGGCUGAAACUCGCCCUCAUGAAGCUGGAAUC